AUUGAACGCUGGCGGCAUGCCUUACACAUGCAAGUCGAACGGCAGCGCGGGGCAACCUGGCGGCGAGUGGCGAACGGGUGAGUAACAUAUCGGAACAUACCCUAGAGUGGGGGAUAACGUAGCGAAAGUUACGCUAAUACCGCAUACGCACUAAGGUGGAAAGUGGGGGAUUCGCAAGAACCUCAUGCUCAUGGAGUGGCCGAUAUCUGAUUAGCUAGUUGGUGAGGUAAAAGGCUCACCAAGGCGACGAUCAGUAGCUGGUUUGAGAGAACGACCAGCCACACUGGAACUGAGACACGGUCCAGACUCCUACGGGAGGCAGCAGUGGGGAAUUUUGGACAAUGGGGGCAACCCUGAUCCAGCAAUGCCGCGUG
rnacentral:rRNA from 1 species